rnacentral:miRNA from 1 species
UAUUAGGCACCAUUGUUUCUUG